rnacentral:rRNA from 1 species
GGCUCACCAAGGCAACGAUGCAUAGCCGACCUGAGAGGGUGAACGGCCACAUUGGGACUGAGACACGGCCCAAACUCCUACGGGAGGCAGCAGUGGGGAAUAUUGCACAAUGGGGGAAACCCUGAUGCAGCGACGCCGCGUGAAGGAAGAAGUAUCUCGGUAUGUAAACUUCUAUCAGCAGGGAAGAAAGUGACGGUACCUGACUAAGAAGCCCCGGCUAAUUAC